UGGGGAAUAUUGGACAAUGGGCGCAAGCCUGAUCCAGCCAUGCCGCGUGAGUGAUGAAGGCCCUAGGGUUGUAAAGCUCUUUCACCGGUGAAGAUAAUGACGGUAACCGGAGAAGAAGCCCCGGCUAACUUCGUGCCAGCAGCCGCGGUAAUACGAAGGGGGCUAGCGUUGUUCGGAUUUACUGGGCGUAAAGCGCACGUAGGCGGACUUUUAAGUCAGGGGUGAAAUCCCGGGGAUCAACCCCGGAACUGCCUUUGAUACUGGAAGUCUUGAGGAUGGUAGAGGUGGGUGGAAUUCCGAGUGUAGAGGUGAAAUUCGUAGAUAUUCGGAGGAAAACCAGUGGCGAAGGCGGCUCACUGGACCAUUACUGACGCUGAGGUGCGAAAGCGUGGGGAGCAAACAGG
rnacentral:rRNA from 1 species